UGUCAUGUUUCUGGCCCGUCUGCCUGCUAUGUUUCUCUCCUCUGUACUCCUCAUCAAGCUCAUCUGGUUCACCUGCAUGCUGCUGCGCUGGAGCACAAUCAGACUCAUGCCUUCCACCUGUUCACCAGCAGUUAUAUUCAGCUCUCAGGCAGGCAGACGGUGCCAGAUUUUUGAAAGCCACCGAGUGAGUAGAUAUCCAGCGUUCUUCCUGACCUGACCACGAUCACGAACACAUUUUUGACCCUUGGAUUUUCCUGCCUUGCCUUGCCCACGUCGGAUUCUUCACUGGCUUCUGUUUUCUGGUCUCGACCCUGUUUCUGCCUUUUGACCUCUGCCUCCUGCCUCGCCCUUGGAUAUUGUCUGCCUGAGAUUGCCUGCUAGUACUGGACCCUUUUUCCGUGACCUGACCACUGCUCUUCGCCCAACCCUCAGAUACGUUUGUCUGGUCCUGCCUGUCCUAAACCCUGUGCCUCCCAGUCCUGUCCUUCCCUAGGUGUGCCACUUGUCUCUUCCACUGUGCUACCUGGAUCCCUCAUCCCCCACAACACCAGGAAGAGGUUCCUGUUCCUUGCUCGUGGUUCCCCGUCCCUAUACCUGGUCCUCAAUAAAGACCUUAUUGAUUUUUA